CUAUGGUAUGUGUUAGAGGGAUUCAGUAGGUCUAUGGUAUGUGUUAGAGGGAUUCAGUAGGUCUAUGGUAUGUGUUAGAGGGAUUCAGUAGGCCUAUGGUAUGUGUUAGAGGGUAGGUCUAUGGUAUGUGUUAGAGGGAUUCAGUAGGUCUAUGGUAUGUGUUAGAGGGAUUCAGUAGGCCUAUGGUAUGUGUUAGAGGGAUUCAGUAGGUCUAUGGUAUGUGUUAGAGGGAUUCAGUAGGUCUAUGGUAUGUGUUAGAGGGAUUCAGUAGGUCUAUG